rnacentral:rRNA from 1 species
AGCGUCUGGAAAGGCGCGCGAUACAGGGUGACAGCCCCGUACACAAAAGCGCAUGUGCUGUGAGCUCGAUGAGUAGGGCGGGACACGUGGUAUCCUGUCUGAAUAUGGGGGGACCAUCCUCCAAGGCUAAAUACUCCUGACUGACCGAUAGUGAACCAGUACCGUGAGGGAAAGGCGAAAAGAACCCCGGCGAGGGGAGUGAAAAAGAACCUGAAACCGUGUACGUACAAGCAGUGGGAGCCCCACCACUAAGCCAGUGGUGAACUCCACAUACGCAUCCUUUGCUGAGGAUACGGUUAACGGAGCGAAAGCGACGUUCAACCUCAAAAGAAGCAGAGGGGGCUUAGUGGUGGGGUGACUGCGUACCUUUUGUAUAAUGGGUCAGCGACUUAUAUUCUGUAGCAAGGUUAACCGAAUAGGGGAGCCGGAGGGAAACCGAGUCUUAACCGGGCGUUAAGUUGCAGGGUAUAGACCCGAAACCCGGUGAUCUAGCCAUGGGCAGGUUGAAGGUUGGGUAACACUAACUGGAGGACCGAACCGACUAAUGUUGAAAAAUUAGCGGAUGACCUGUGGCUGGGGGUGAAAGGCCAAUCAAACCGGGAGAUAGCUGGUUCUCCCCGAAAGCUAUUUAGGUAGCGCCUCGUGAAUUCAUCUCCGGGGGUAGAGCACUGUUUCGGCUAGGGGGCCAUCCCGGCUU